rnacentral:rRNA from 1 species
GAUGAACGCUGGCGGCGUGCCUAAUACAUGCAAGUCGAGCGAACGGACGAGAAGCUUGCUUUUCUGAUGUUAGCGGCGGACGGGUGAGUAACACGUGGAUAACCUACCUAUAAGACUGGGAUAACUUCGGGAAACCGGAGCUAAUACCGGAUAAUAUUUUGAACCGCAUGGUUCAAAAGUGAAAGACGGUCUUGCUGUCACUUAUAGAUGGAUCCGCGCUGCAUUAGCUAGUUGGUAAGGUAACGGCUUACCAAGGCAACGAUGCAUAGCCGACCUGAGAGGGUGAUUGGCCACACUGGAACUGAGACACGGUCCAGACUCCUACGGGAGGCAGCAGUAGGGAAUCUUCCGCAAUGGGCGAAAGCCUGACGGAGCAACGCCGCGUGAGUGAUGAAGGUCUUCGGAUCGUAAAACUCUGUUAUUAGGGAAGAACAUAUGUGUAAGUAACUGUGCACAUCUUGACGGUACCUAAUCAGAAAGCCACGGCUAACUACGUG